AGAGGAUCACGCGGUGUGGUGAAUGGACGGAAUUUGGAUGAUAUGUUUCAUCAUUCAGCAGAAAGACUUGCAGGGUAAAUUUAUACAGAUGUAGUUGCUCAUUGAAAUCAAUUGUGGUGGAAUAACUCCCAUUUCUCAAUGAUACCCCACCUCACAGCACAAUUUUUGCAAUUCUAAGCCAGUUGUUACUUUGUAAUAUCAUGUGGCUAAGCUAUACAACAAAUGACCAUGUAGAAACUAUUUAAACCACGAACAAAAUAUAAAAAAAGGAAGAAAAAGAUGAGAACGACCUGAUGAUGUGAUUCCUAUGCGUUAAUGUAGCUGACAAGUUACCCAGUCAUUCCACAGAAAAUGCAAGCAGAUGCAGAUAAGAGCAAUUAUGUGACAAGAUUAACAAACUCAUUCAAUAAAUCUGCGACAAAUAUUAUAUCAGAAGAUAGAUAUUAGGGAUAAUACAUAUUUUACCCCUGGACUUCUCCGGAUUUUUUCUCAGAUGCACACUUAAACUAUGAUCCAAGUCCCCUCAAAGAAUAGCUGUCAUUUUGUUCAAUCGUGGUCUCAAGAUAUCAUGUUAAAAAGCGAGAUAUCAAUUUUCCCAGCAAAUCCCUCAUCGGAAUUUUUCUAUAGAACAAGCCGUACAUUUUCUAUCUUUAAAAACAAUGAUCUACCUUUGAAACACUUGAUCAUCUAUUUCUAGAUUGAAUCAGGGGAACCAAAAAGAAACUGGAACCCCAGUGCCGAUUUCCAGUUUUGCUUGUUUUCAAACAACUGUUCAAUUUUCCUUGUCCACAGACUAUGAGGGUAUUUUAUAACAAAAAUUACUUUUCCAAAUUAUGCGCGUGGUGGAAGAAAAACAAUUAUGCGGGAUCUCUCUCACAUCUUCUAAGAAAAACAAUUAUGCGGGAUCUCUCUCACAUCUUCUUACUGAUUUUGCAUACGCAAAUUCAUCUAUCAUGUAUUUUUGGGGAAGAUUAGGGUGGUGCCGGGAUUAAGCAAAGAAUACUGUAGGUGAAAAAUGAAAGAAAGAGAGAGAUGGCAGGAACGGAUGGGUGGCAGGCGCCAUGGCUGAGUUUUAGAAAUGAAAUUUGAUAAAAGGAGGAAAGGGCUGAAGGAGUAAGACAAAUAUCAUUUAUUAAUCAAUUAAGUAUAAUUAACUGUAUAGUAUCCAGCUAAAACUGACAGUUGUACACAUUAGUCAAUCUCAACAAUUUUUUGCUACAUACACCUCCCUCAAAAUGAGCUCAUUUCCUGUGCCACAUCAUCACUGAAGGGGAUAUUUAUUCCAUUUUGAAAAUGCCUCCAAGGG
rnacentral:lncRNA from 1 species